GACGAACCGUGCGAACGUUGUUCGGAUUCACUGGGCUUAAAGGGCGCGUAGGCGGUCGGCCAAGUCUGGGGUGAAAUCUUUCGGCUCAACCGGAAAAGUGCCCCCGAUACUGGCCGUCUAGAGGGAGGUAGGGGCAUGUGGAACUUCCGGUGGAGCGGUGAAAUGCGCAGAUAUCGGGAAGAACACCCGUGGCGAAGGCGGCUCUCUGGGACGGUACUGACGCUGAGACGCGAAAGCGUGGGGAGCGAACAGG
rnacentral:rRNA from 1 species